CCUACGGGUGGCAGCAGUGAGGAAUAUUGGUCAAUGGACGAGAGUCUGAACCAGCCAAGUAGCGUGAAGGAUGACUUCCCUCUGGGUUGUAAACUUCUUUUAUAUGGGAAUAAAACUUUCCACGCGUGGGAUUUUGUAUGUACCAUAUGAAUAAGGAUCGGCUAACUCCGUGCCAGCAGCCGCGGUAAUACGGAGGAUCCGUGCGUUAUCCGGAUUUAUUGGGUUUAAAGGGAGCGUAGGUGGAUUGUUAAGUCAGUUGUGAAAGUUUGCGGCUCAACCGUAAGACUGCAGUUGAAACUGGCAGGCUUGAGUACAGUAGAGGUAGGCGGAAUUCGUGGUGUAGCGGUGAAAUGCUUAGAUAUCACGAAGAACUCCGAUUGCGAAGGCAGUUCACUGGACUGCAACUGACACUGAGGCUCGAAAGUGUGGGUAUCAAACAGGAUUAGAUACCCUUGUAGUC
rnacentral:rRNA from 1 species